UCCCUGUUACCAGGGCAGUCUAGCUAGAGAAAUACAACUAACUAUAAGGGUUGCGCUCGUUAAUGGACUUAACCAAACAUCUCACGACACGAGCUGACGACGGCCAUGCAUCACCUGUCACUGCGUUCCCGAAGGCACACUCUGCUUUCGCAGAACUUCGCAGGAUGUCAAACCUGGGUAAGGUUCUUCGCUUACCAUCGAAUUAAACAACACGCUCCACCGCUUGUGCGGGUCCCCGUCAAUUCCUUUAUGUUUUAGCCUUGCGGCCGUACUCCACAGGCGGGAUGCUUAACGCGUUAGCUUCGCUACUACUCGGGUCGAUACGAAUAACAGCUAGCAUCCAUCGUUUACGGCGUGGACUAC
rnacentral:misc_RNA from 1 species